AUUGAACGCUGGCGGCAUGCCUUACACAUGCAAGUCGAACGGCAGCACGGGUGCUUGCACCUGGUGGCGAGUGGCGAACGGGUGAGUAAUACAUCGGAACGUACAUUAUCGUGGGGGAUAACGCAGCGAAAGCUGUGCUAAUACCGCAUACGCCCUGAGGGGGAAAGCGGGGGAUCGCAAGACCUCGCGCGAUUAGAGCGGCCGAUGCCUGAUGAGCUUGUUGGUGGGGUAAAACCCCACCAAGGCGACGAUCAGUAGCUGGUCUGAGAGGACGAUCAGCCACACUGGGACUGAGACACGGCCCAGACUCCUACGGGAGGCAGCAGUGGGGGAUUUUGGACAAUGGGGGCAACCCUGAUCCAGCAAUGCCGCGUGAGUGAAGAAGGCCUUCGGGUUGUAAAGCUCUUUUGUCAGGGAAGAAACACCGGCUCUAACACAGUCCGGGAAUGACGGUACCUGAAGAAUAAGCACCGGCUAACUACGUGCCAGCAGCCGCGGUAA
rnacentral:rRNA from 1 species